ACGAACGCUGGCGGCGUGCUUAACACAUGCAAGUCGAACGAUGAAGCCCUUCGGGGUGGAUUAGUGGCGAACGGGUGAGUAACACGUGGGCAAUCUGCCCUGCACUCUGGGACAAGCCCUGGAAACGGGGUCUAAUACCGGAUAACACCCCCUCUCGCAUGGGAGGGGGUUGAAAGCUCCGGCGGUGCAGGAUGAGCCCGCGGCCUAUCAGCUUGUUGGUGAGGUAGAAGCUCACCAAGGCGACGACGGGUAGCCG
rnacentral:rRNA from 5 species